GAUGAACGCUGGCGGCGUGCCUAAUACAUGCAAGUCGAGCGAACAGACGAGGAGCUUGCUCCUUUGACGUUAGCGGCGGACGGGUGAGUAACACGUAGGUAACCUACCUAUAAGACUGGGAUAACUUCGGGAAACCGGAGCUAAUACCGGAUAAUAUUUCGAACCGCAUGGUUCGGUAGUGAAAGAUGGCUUUGCUAUCACUUAUAGAUGGACCUGCGCCGUAUUAGCUAGUUGGUAAGGUAACGGCUUACCAAGGCAACGAUACGUAGCCGACCUGAGAGGGUGAUCGGCCACACUGGAACUGAGACACGGUCCAGACUCCUACGGGAGGCAGCAGUAGGGAAUCUUCCGCAAUGGGCGAAAGCCUGACGGAGCAACGCCGCGUGAGUGAUGAAGGUCUUCGGAUCGUAAAACUCUGUUAUUAGGGAAGAACAAACGUGUAAGUAACUGUGCACGUCUUGACGGUACCUAAUCAGAAAGCCACGGCUAACUACGUG
rnacentral:rRNA from 1 species